rnacentral:rRNA from 1 species
CGUGAGAUGUUGGGUUAAGUCCCGCAACGAGCGCAACCCUUGCCAUUAGUUGCUACGAAGGGCACUCUAAUGGGACUGCCGGUGACAAACCGGAGGAAGGUGGGGAUGACGUCAGGUCAUCAUGGCCCUUAUGGGUAGGGCUACACACGUCAUACAAUGGCCGGUACAGAGGGCUGCCAACCCGCGAGGGGGAGCCAAUCCCAGAAAACCGGUCGUAGUCCGGAUCGUAGUCUGCAACUCGACUGCG